UACGUAAACAAAGUCUGUCUCUACUGUCGCAAGCUUAGAUGGGAGAACGCUUUCAAUUCUUUUUUUAUUUUGUUUUUUCGGAUUUUUCCAGGCUUCACUCACGAGCAGUUUUUACCAUCAGUUCGCUUUGAGGCAUUAAAAAUGGUACUCUGUGAAUGACACUGUGAAUAUCAGAGUGGAAAGUUGAGUUGGUUGUCAUUUUGCAAACGGAGCGCAAGAAAAACGAAACAACACUGCUGGACGAGCUCAGACUGCUCAGACAUGCAACUGAAUAGUUACGGAACAUAUCAAGCCAGAGACACGUCAUUGUACGAGGAAAAGGAAUACCCUUUGGUCUCUACACCUCAGACUCCACCUCCAACAUGCAAGCUAGCUCACUUCGCUGAGCGAAUGUCCCGACGAGUGAGAAAAACAAGUGGUGGUGACCUCAGACUGUACCUCGGUGAGGAAGACGGAGAUCUCGUGCUAAACAAGAUGAAGAAUCACGGCUGCAGAAACCAUUUGAUGUAAUCGUGACGAAAGCAGAUGACGCAUAUCGAUAGCAUCCCGGGAUUCCCUCUCUGGAAACGCCACCCGGACGGAGCAAAUCAAGGAGCGGCUGGAGGUACCUUGGUAGCGUUGGCGGCCGACCGACUGAUACUGGACGGCAUCUGCCCUGUGAUCAGCUUGCGGAACAUUCUUUCUGGUUAGCAUCGGAGGUGUUUGUACAAGUGGGAGCGUAACAGCGUGUUCCACGCAACAUGGUCACGUCAGAACUCACACUGGAGACAAUGGAAUGCGAGUGCCAUCAAGAACCUUUCUGGCAAUUCUCCUGACUGAACUGGAACCAAUGUGCACACAGAGGAACUGAACACAGAUCACUUCCCUGGGGACAGGGCGACACGUGGCAGGUGUCGCAUUAAAGAAGAGCCUCUAGAGGACCCUUCAAAAGAACAACCAAUCACAGAAAUCAAGACAGAGCCUUACAACGUUGGAAUUAUAGCAGAGCAGGAGCAAAUGGGGCACAGCUGUGGCUCUGCAUCAGAAGACACUCUACCACUUGACCCCGCUGCAGGUGAAGGUGCAGCCAGUGAAAACGAGCCGUCCGAUAGCGACGACGCUUUCAGAUGCCUCUGCACUCGCUGUAGUCCAGUGGAACCUGAUGAACGCCGGUGCCGCAGUUCCGUUGAUCGAGUGUCAGCUGUCUUGUGAGAGUGCCGGGGGUCAGUUGUAUCACCGAUCACCUACUCUUCAAUGACAUUUGUCUGCGGAGGGAGCUCCUGCUUGUUUAUGCACCAGUGUUUUGCCGUGAUGACCGUCACAUGCGUAUUCUCGAGCCAUCUGACAAUAGACGUCUCCGAUACACUGCGUAUUGCUCCUUUACAAGCUGGAUUCAUGGAUACCUUGGAAUAAGAAACCGAAGGCAGAUUCCACGAUGUGCUGAUCGAAGAAUCAGGACGUUGUACCCGUCGAUUUCAUAUACAGGAUACUAUGAGUAACACCAGGCAUAUCUCCCACGUUGCAUAUAUGGUAACAUACUUCACUUUUCAUAACACCUUUCAAAUUCAACUUGUGCGGUAUACAGGGUGUUUGCUCUAACGUGUCCAGAAGUUUUAUCUAAAACGAGUGCUACUUUUCAGCUACC